rnacentral:rRNA from 1 species
UUGACCUCGGAUCAGGUAGGGAUACCCGCUGAACUUAAGCAUAUCAAUAAGCGGAGGAAAAGAAACCAACAGGGAUUGCCCUAGUAACGGCGAGUGAAGCGGCAACAGCUCAAAUUUGAAAGCUAGCCUUCGGGUUCGCAUUGUAAUUUGUAGAGGAUGCUUUGGGGAAGUCGCCUGUCUAAGUUCCUUGGAACAGGACGUCAUAGAGGGUGAGAAUCCCGUAUGUGACAGGAAAUGACACCCUAUGUAAAGCUCCUUCGACGAGUCGAGUUGUUUGGGAAUGCAGCUCUAAAUGGGAGGUAAAUUUCUUCUAAAGCUAAAUACCGGCGAGAGACCGAUAGCGCACAAGUAGAGUGAUCGAAAGAUGAAAAGCACUUUGGAAAGAGAGUUAAAAAGCACGUGAAAUUGUUGAAAGGGAAGCGCUUGCAAUCAGACUUGUCUUUAACCGUUCGGCCGGUCUUCUGACCGGUUUACUCGGUAAUCGACAGGCCAGCAUCAGUUUCGGCGGUCGGAUAAAGGCCUUGGGAAUGUGGCUCUGCCUUCGGGGAGAGUGUUAUAGCCCAGGGUGUAAUACGGCCAGCCGGGACUGAGGUCCGCGAUUCGUCUAGGA